rnacentral:rRNA from 1 species
CCGGCGACCGGCGCACGGGUGAGUAACACGUAUGCAACCUGCCCUCUUCAGGGGGACAACCUUCCGAAAGGGAGGCUAAUCCCGCGUAUAUCGGUUUCGGGCAUCCGAGAUCGAGGAAAGAUUCAUCGGAAGAGGAUGGGCAUGCGGCGCAUUAGCUAGACGGCGGGGUAACGGCCCACCGUGGCGACGAUGCGUAGGGGUUCUGAGAGGAAGGUCCCCCCACACUGGUACUGAGACACGGACCAGACUCCUACGGAAGGCAGCAG